rnacentral:rRNA from 1 species
CUGGCUCAUCUUGAACGCUAGCGGCAUGCCUCACACAUGCAAGUCGAACGGGACAGCGCGGAGAGAACUUGUUUUUCUCUAGCGAGUUGAGUGGCGAACGGGUGAGUAAUGCGUAGGAAUCUACCUUUUAGAGGGGGAUAACCCGAGGAAACUCGGGCUAAUACCGCGUAGUAUCUCUUUUCAUAGAAAAGUUGAAGAAAGCGGGGGAUCCUUGAGUUUUUUUAAGGACCUCGCGCUAAAAGAUGAGCCUGCGUCGGAUUAGUUAGUUGGUGGGGUAAUAGCCCACCAAGACGAUGAUCCGUAGCUGGUCUGAGAGGAUGAUCAGCCACACUGGGACUGAGACACGGCCCAGACUCCUAUGGGAGGCAGCAGUGGGGAAUAUUGGACAAUGGGGGAAACCCUGAUCCAGCAAUGCCGCGUGUGUGAAGAAGGCCUUCGGGUUGUAAAGCACUUUCAGCAGGAAAGAAAGUCUUAAAGUUAAUACCUUUAAUGAGUUGACGUUACCUGCAGAAGAAGCACUGGCUAACUCUGUGCCAGCAGCCGCGGUAAUACAGAGAGUGCAAGCGUUAAUCGGAAUUACUGGGCGUAAAGCGCGCGUAGGUGGAUAUUAAAGUCGGGUGUGAAAGCCCCGAGCUUAACUCGGGAAUUGCGUUCGAUACUGAGUAUCUAGAGUAUAGUAGAGGGAAGUGGAAUUUCCGGUGUAGCGGUGAAAUGCGUAAAUAUCGGAAGGAACACCAGUGGCGAAGGCGGCUUCCUGAACUAAUACUGACACUGAGGUGCGAAAGCGUAGGGAGCAAACAGGAUUAAAUACCCUGGUA